UCAGCUCUGCCACCAGCCCAGGGUCUAAAAGGACAUCAUCCCUAUGAGAAAUCCCAAACAGAAUUUUCAGAUGUCAAGCAAUACAGGUGUAAAUAUACAGAAAUAUGUAUAUAUUUGCAUAGACUUUUCUUCGCCAGUUCUUGUCUAGAUCUGAAUUUCUCAAGAGCUCCCCUGUUCCAGGCUGUAUGGCCCAUUAGCUGUAGCUGUGCUAUCUUCAGUGGAACAGAACACAAAGCUGUCAACAAAGUUUUUACAGCCUCAUCCAGUUGCCAGGAGAGACCACAAACAGGAGCCCUUCAAGGGAGGAGCAGCUACAGAUGCUGGGGUCAGUUUUCAGGAAGGAGGAGCAGCUGCCCAUCAUCAUAGCCUCAAGAUUCCAAGGAAGAAGUCUUUGCUGCACUUACCAAUCCAUGCCAAUGAGCUCCUGAGGACAAGAGGAGCCUGUGCUCUGUGAAGUUCACCUGAGAAGCCAAGCAGUGUCAGAGUGCUGUGUUCAUGACCAGAAACAUAAGCGACUCCCUUUUGUACAAACUGCAAUACUUCUAUUCACCAACCUGGAGAAGAAAGUUAAUUUGUUCCUGUUUCUUCAGAGUUAAGUCUAA